rnacentral:rRNA from 1 species
GGGUUGGUACUUACUGGAGGACCUUUUGGUAAAAUAAUGGAGGGAACCGAGAUUCCCCCAGUAGCGGCGAGCGGACGGGGAGCAGCCCAGAGUCAGCAUCAAUAUUUACCGCAGGAGAAGGGUCUGGAAAGGCCGGCAAUAAAGGGUGAUAGCCCCGUAUCUGAAGCGGUAAGUGUUGUGAACUCGAAGAGUAGGGCGGGACACGUGUUAUCCUGUCUGAAUAUGGGGGGACCAUCCUCCAAGGCUAAAUACUCCUGACUGACCGAUAGUGAACCAGUACCGUGAGGGAAAGGCGAAAAGAACCCCGGCAAGGGGAGUGAAAUAAAACCUGAAACCGUGUACGUACAAGCAGUGGGAGCACCCGAAAGGUUGUGACUGCGUACCUUUUGUAUAAGGGGUCAGCGACUUAUAUUCUGUAGCAAGGUUAACCGCUUAGGGAAGACGUAGGGAAACCGAGUCUUAACUGGCCGUUAAGUUGUAGGGUAUAGACCCGAAACCCGGUGAUCUAGCCAUGGGCAGGUGGAAGGUGGGGUAACACUAAUUGGAGAACAAGGUUGGUGAACUUAGUUGGAGGAUAGUGGGGGGCCCCCCCCGGGGGGCACCCCGCGGGGGACAUCCUAUUGUGGGGGACCCCCGUGUGUGCUCCUCUUGAUAUCCCCCCCCCCCGGGUCCCCCAGAGGGACCACCCCCGCUGCGGCU